rnacentral:rRNA from 1 species
UACAGAGGUCCCAAGCGUUGUUCGGAUUCAUUGGGCGUAAAGGGUGCGUAGGCGGCGCCGUAAGUCGGAUGUGAAAUCUCGGGGCUCAACCCCGAAACUGCAUUCGAUACUGCGGUGCUAGAGGACUCUAGAGGAAACUGGAAUUCACGGUGUAGCAGUGAAAUGCGUAGAUAUCGUGAGGAAGACCAGUGGCGAAGGCGGGUUUCUGGAGAGUUCCUGACGCUGAGGCACGAAGGCCAGGGGAGCAAACGGG